GGUUCCGGUUGCCUAAGUGGUCAGAGCAUUCGCCUAGUAUGCGAUAGGUCGCAGGUUCAAAACCUAGCCGAGUCA